UACGUAGGGUGCGAGCGUUGUCCGGAAUUACUGGGCGUAAAGAGCUCGUAGGUGGUUUGUCGCGUUGUUCGUGAAAACUCACAACUCAAUUGUGGGCGUGCGGGCGAUACGGGCAGACUGGAGUACUGCAGGGGAGACUGGAAUUCCUGGUGUAGCGGUGGAAUGCGCAGGAUAUCAGGAGGAACACCGUGGCGAAGGCGGGUCUCGUGGGCAGUGAACUGACGCUGAGGAGCGAAAGCGUGGGGAGCGAACAGG
rnacentral:rRNA from 1 species